GCCUGGGUGGCUCAAUCAGUUAAGCAUCUGACUUUGGCUCAGGUCAUGAUCUUACGGUCUGUGGGUUCGAGCCCCAUGUCAGGCU
rnacentral:tRNA from 1 species